rnacentral:snRNA from 1 species
AAAUCUUUCGCCUUUUACUAAAGAUUUCCGUGGA